AAACUUGACAGUCCCUCUUGCCUGGAGCAUUAACACAACGUGGCUGCAAAGUUAGUCCUUUCCCGCUACCAUCUCCUGAAUACUGGGACUAACUACACGUAUGCACGAACCUGCCCAUCUUUGCCUCUGUUAACAGCUGCCACUGUCUCUUCACGACAUGAUGGCUGACCUAGGUUGGAAGGAACAGAGCCAGUUGGCCAUGGACUGAAACUUUUGGAACUGAUUCUGAGGAGUUAAUGUUUCCAUGAAUAUCUCAGAAGGAGAUGUGGACAAACGAACAGUUAUCUCACUCCUGUAGCUGGCUGAGCUUUUUAAAGAUGGCUAUUCUGAAUUCUUCACAGAUGGCACAGUGUCAGAAUCGUGUGUGGCCUCCUGCUGCCUGAACCAUGCCGCUAAGACAGUUGCCCACUGUGCAGCUUCACACCAUCUGCAGAGAGCAACACUGCAGAGCCUUUGGGAGAGCCUUGCCAGUCGCUGAAAGCCUGGCUGACUGCCAAGCCUUGCACUGUAGACUGAAAAUUGCUCUCUUUGCUGAGCUCAGUACUAACACUUAGAUCUUCAUGGUCUCCUGGGAGACCAUGUCAGCUGCUGUUCAGUGAGAUAAAUUUGGAUCAGCUGAAGAUAUGCACUCUCUAUGCCUUCCUUGACUGUCAGCUAAACAGUGUGCACUCCUGGCUUAGUACAGCCUUGGCUGCUGAGAGCCCCAUUCCUCCCCUGUGCUCUUCAUUGUCCUCAUGAUCUGGCUUUCAUCAUCCAUUAUACUCCUAACACUGGGAGUGAAGUGUCAUUGAAGAAUGUUCAUCAGGCACUACCUCAAAGGGCUGGAGAUGAUUGGUGAAUGCUUUGAUUCUUCAUUCCUCCUAGGACACAUAUCAAGCCCCCAGAAUUUCUCUCUAUCCAGUUGCACCAGUGUGAGGAACUUGACGGUGUCAGGAAAGUGAAACUGCUUCUCUGCUCCAUAUAAAUGUCUGUGCAGAUGCAAAGCCAUGCAUUACAUGGUAGCUCACCUUUAAUCCUAGCACUCAGGAGACAGAGGCAGGAGGAUCUCUCCGAGCUCAAGGCCAGCCUGGUCUUCACAGUGAGUUCCAGGACAGCCAAGGCUACACAGGAAUCCUGUGUACAGGUCCUUGGUAUUGCACUCCUCUCUAUAAACACAACUUGCUUUUAGAA
rnacentral:lncRNA from 1 species